UGUGGUCAAAAGGUCAAAUCGAUGACCAACUUAUUUUGCAAAGUAUGGAAGAAAAUCCGCUUCUCUAACUUAGAUUGACUUGCGGUCGUAUUUCCUCCUGCAAGAAGUCAUCUUUAUUCAAGUUUUUACCGCGAAAUCCGUGCAUACAUGUGCAGUCAUACCCGUCUGUGAGUUCCGUACAUGAGCCGCCAUUCAUGCAGGGAUUCGGUUGACAGCGGUCUUCCACUGAAAGCUGCGUGACGCUGCGAGUCCAUCGAGAAGGAGCCUUCGUUGGACUGGCCACCAGUAUAGCUAAGUGAGCUUAAGCUGCUGCUGCUAGCAAGUUUGGAUAAACUGGCCUGACUCUCGUCGUUUGUGACGACCUUGACACUCCUACGCGAUGCGCAUGUCCUUCCGUAGAAGUCCUCUGUGCAGAUGCAGUAGAAAGUAGUCUUGCCCUCGAUGCACGUGGCACCGUUUUCACAUGGGUUUGGCACACAGUACGUAACCGGUACCGUCGGGCCUUGGCAAAGAGGACUUUUCAAAAGUACUUACGCGUACAAGUCUGGCCCGUGUAGCCCUUGUUGCACUCACACCACCAGUCUGAAUCCGUGGAGUACAUGUGAUUUUGCUCAUGGCACGUGCCACCGUUCUCGCACGGGUUGGGAUGACAAUGGACUUUCUCUGUACCACUACUCAUUCUUCGACGAGGCGGUGUCUAGGCAUGCAAGUAGAGUAAAUAGAAACGGAGAAGUCUUUAGAAUGCUUCGUCACCAUGUAAAUAUUAGCUAUUAUCUAUAGACGAACCGUUUUAGAGUUUUUUUUUUGUAUUCUCGCUUAAUACACUUCGUUUGUACAUUCUUACAUCGAGCAUUCGUUGUAUAAAGAAGUAUCUGUCUCUCACCAUUGACUCUCCUCUUCUUUCUCUUUCCCCUUCUUUCUCUCUUCCCUCUUUCUAUUUUUUUGUGCUUUGGUUAAGCCUGGCUUGAAUUGUAUAGCAGGUGAUGUAAACACUUAGUAAAAUCUUGUUAUAUCUU